rnacentral:misc_RNA from 1 species
CUCUAGUCAGUUUCCGUUUGUGUAGGGCAGCACAUCUACAGCACAGCAGUUGUUUCGGUUAUUUCUUUAUUCUAUUUAUUCCAGUUCUAUAUAAAAAUAGACGUUGGGACUUGCUGUUGUUAGUUUUGUGAAUUUUUACAAAUAAGUGAAACUGUAUAAAUAAGUAAUAUACAAGAAUUUUUAAUUAUAAUACUUCACCGUUAAACAAUAAUGGCUAACCAAAAUCCAGACACGACGGCAGAAAAAGUGGAAAGUUCAACAGAAAAUGGCAAUGUUAAUCAACAGCAUAAUGCAGGUGGCCACGGAGGACCUGGAGGUCAAGGAGGAGGUUUACAGGGUGGUAGGCGCGGUGGUAGAUUUGGGGGCUCCGGUGGAGGUGGCGGACGAAGACACAACCCCAAUAUCAAACAGGAAAAUUUCGAACGAAAACGCCCAAGAGGUAAUAUGUCUGGUGGACCAGGAGGUCCUCGUGAAAUGGGACCUGGAGGCGGCCCUGGGAGAAACCCUGACGACCGUCUUAAUGAAAAACUCGCUCAACUUAGUGGACAUACUAUUGACCUUCCACCAUUAGACACAACAGAGAAGAAAUUUUCUGGUAGGAGUCGGCUUUACAUCGGCAACAUUUCUCCAGAUGUAACUGAGGAAGAAUUAAACGAACUGUUUAAGAAGUAUGGUGAAACUAGCGAACUUUUCCUUAACAAGGAAAAAAAUUUUGGAUUUGUUCGCAUGGAUUAUCAUGCAAAUGCCGAAAAAGCUAAGCGUGAAUUGGAAGGCACUACAAUAAAAGGUCGUAACCUGAAAAUCCGUUUUGCUCCGAAUGGUUCUAGCAUUAAGGUGAAGAAUCUUACUCCUUGGGUGACAAAUGAACUUCUUCAUGCUGCUUUUGGAAUUUUUGGUGAAAUUGAACGCGCGGUUAUAAUAGUAGACGAUCGUGGGAAGUCUACGGGAGAAGGAAUUGUAGAGUUUGCUCGUAAAAAUGCAGCAACUCAGGCUGUUCGUAAAUGCAAUGAAAGUUGCUAUUUUAUAACUGCUUCUCUGCGACCAGUAAUAGUGGAACUUUAUGAAGCUCUUGAUGAAUGGGACGGUUAUCCAGAGAAAAAUGUCAACAAAAAGAAUCCAGAGUACACAAAGGACCGUGAAGUGGGCCCCAGAUUUGCAACUCACGAUAGUUUCGAACAUGACUACGGUACUAGGUGGAAACAAUUACAUGAACUUUAUGCUCAAAAAGAGCAAGCUCUUAAAAAAGAAUUGGAGAUGGAAAAAGAAAAAUUAGAAGCACAAAUGGAGUAUGCUCGCUAUGAGCAUGAAACUGAAAUUCUUCGAGAGAAACUGAGAGUGAGAGAAAUGGACCGUGAAAGGCAGAAAAGGGAAUGGGAAAUGAAAGAACGUCAGGCUGAGGAACAAAGGCAAAGGACUGAAGAACAAAUGAGAAGGCAACAAGAGGAAAUGCAGGCAAGAAUGAUGCAUCAAGAAGAAGAACUUAGGAGACGUCAACAAGAAAAUAGUCUGUUCAUGCAAGCACAUCAACUUGACAACAUGCUUGAUCAACAGGAACAGGCCUAUCAGCAGCCCGAUGAUCGUGGUUUAUAUGGCACAUCUAUUCCACCAGAUAUGGGCGGAAAUAAUCCACUGGAGGAAAAAACAUACUUUAAAGCUGCUGCUGGUUGAUAAAUGUGCAACGGUUGUAAUUUUUUGGAAGAAAACAUAGGGGCAUCUUUCAAACGGUAUGAGGCUUACAGAAUUGGGUAUGUACAAAGUUCAAAAAUUGCAAAGUGUACAAAACUCCUUUGUGUAAUAUACAUAAAAUGUAAAUCUUUGCAAAAGUGUGAGUUGUAUUUGUUCUUUCCGAAAAUAUCUAAUAAAUGAUGGAUUAUACUUAACAACUGUAUUUUCAUAUUAUGGCAAAAAUUGACGCUAUUUGCAAGUAAUGUGGCCUAGAUGUGCAGUGAAAUUAUACCCUUAUGUAAUCAUCACGCUUUAUGGUGCUUCAGACACCAAUAGUGUGGUAGGAUAGGCACAUCUGACCUACUAUAUAUUUCCUAUCUAUGGGCACGACUUUGCUGUAGGCAUUUAAGGUUAUGUGUAUGUUGUUUUCCCACAUUGAAUUUAAAUUUCGUUGUUUAUUGAUAAAUUUGUUUUUGAAAGUAUGGAUAGCCGGUUAUGCGUUCAACGUUCUGAAAGUGAGGAUGGAAACAACUCCUAUUUACCGGGAUAUAAAAUAAACUAUUCAUUAUCUGGAAGUAGUGGUAGUUUAUGUGAAAAAAGUUCAGUAACCACACCUAAAAGGAAACCAGACAACUCGUCUAAAAGUUUGAUCUUUACGGAUUAUCAGUCAGUGGCAGAUAGAUGUCGAAUAGCAAUAGAGGGAAGAGGAGGUUGCAUUAGUAUUGAAGGGCACAACACGUCCAAAAACAAUAAGAGAUAAGUCUUCUUUACUUUAUUUUAUAAAAGGAUACAAGCUCUGCAAUUUUACAAAUAUAUACAUAAGCUUAUAAUUUAAGAUAAGCAUUAACAUAAAAUAAACGUCAUAACAUUU